rnacentral:rRNA from 1 species
AUUGAACGCUGGCGGCAUGCCUUACACAUGCAAGUCGAACGGCAGCACGGGGCAACCUGGUGGCGAGUGGCGAACGGGUGAGUAAUGCAUCGGAACGUACCUUUCAGUGGGGGAUAACGCAGCGAAAGUUACGCUAAUACCGCAUAUUCUGUGAGCAGGAAAGCAGGGGAUCGCAAGACCUUGCGCUGAUUGAGCGGCCGAUGUCAGAUUAGCUAGUUGGUGAGGUAAAGGCUCACCAAGGCGACGAACUGUAGCGGGUCUGAGAGGAUGAUCCGCCACACUGGAACUGAGACACGGUCCAGACUCCUACGGGAGGCAGCAGUGGGGAAUUUUGGACAAUGGGGGCAACCCUGAUCCAGCCAUGCCGCGUGAGUGAAGAAGGCCUUCGGGUUGUAAAGCUCUUUCGGCCGGGAAGAGAUCGCACGGGCUAAUACCCUGUGUGGAUGACGGUACCGGAAUAAGAAGCACCGGCUAACUACGUGCCAGCCGCCGCCGUAAAAC